rnacentral:rRNA from 1 species
AUACGGAGGUUGCAAGCGUUACUCGGAAUCACUGGGCGUAAAGCGCGCGCAGGCGGCUAUUUAAGUUGGAUGUGAAAGCCUACGACUCAACCGUAGAACUGCAUCCAAAACUAUUUAGCUAGAGUGUGGGAGAGGAAGAUGGAAUUAGUUGUGUAGGGGUAAAAUCCGUAGAGAUAACUAGGAAUACCAAAAGCGAAGGCAAUCUUCUGGAACACUACUGACGCUGAGGCGCGAAAGCGUGGGGAGCAAACAGGAUUAGAAACCCUAGUAGUCC